AUUACUCUUGCAUAAUUAGGAUCCAGACUGUUCUUUGCAGGAAUUACCCCAGACCAAGGGCCUGCUUUUCUUUAUUUCAAAAGUGACUGUGGGGUGUGGAGGUGUUGCAGAGAAAUCUUUUUAACUUCUUCCUCAUGGACUGUCCAACCUCCGUCCUACUUGGAGCGAUUGCAGAUGUAACAUUGAUGCAAGUGGGAAAGGAGGUGCCAGGGUUUCAUGCUUCCUGUCCCCUCGAUCAUCAUCUCAUCCAGAGCAGAAUGAUUGCAUAUUUUCGCACCCUGGGAAAUGAGUGAACUCGCACUGCGAGGGCAGCUUGUGGAUCUCCCAGGAGCCAAGCCAGAAGGAAAGAAGACUCUGCCUUCUUCACAAGACCAUCUGAAUAUCAAGUCCAAAGGAAUAUGAGCCGUUGCAGUUAAGACAGUUUUGUAGCUGUUCUGUGCAUCCUAAGGAGGCUGAAGUCAGUCUCUGAAACUGGAAGUCCAGCUGGGAGAAAAACAAAUUGGGCUUGGAAAGAGUGAAGCAUCCCGUUCUCCCCUACAAAGGAUCUCUGCUCCUGCACCUGGGUUAUCUUCAUAAACAUGAGUCUGAUUGGUUUCUUAACAGAAUAUUUUUCUGUCAUUGACAAUUUAUCAUUAAGAUCUGCUGUGAUUCAUGCCAGUUCCAUAAAGCCUCAAUGUUAAUACUUAAUAAAAGUAUAACCAGCAUUAUAUUAAAAUACUGGAAAAGUUACCAAAAAGUUGUAAAGCCUAA